AAUUGUUGCUGACGAGGCCGCCUGGACAGCUUGCCUGGUCCCCUGUAUGUCCACUCUGGAUGUCCACAGUGACUCGGGCUCCUCAGCAGCCCACGUCCUCCUCACCAUCUCCCAGAACAUUGGAGUCAGGGAAACAGAGGCGUGUGGACAGGCCCUGGGCCCCUCCCCUAAGACUCACCCGGCCAUCAGGCGUGCGUGGGCCCGAGUACGGCUGGGACUCUCCCAUCAGCACAGACCACACGUCAAAAAAUUCCUGGGCAGAGAAGAGGAGGCCCACGGAGUACCGCUCGCAGUUGAGGUAGGCCCGCACCGUGUAGAAGGCCUUGUGGAACUGCCUCUCGAUGUCCGUCAGCUCCUCAAACACCUUGUUGGCCGACCACAGCAGCACCUGGAGGGAGGGGCACACCUGUGGGCCUGUGGCCACUCCCACCCUCACGCCGGUCUGACCACAGCAGCAGGGGUUUAACUCAAGCCUGACACAGGUUUCAUCUGAGCUUGUGGGGCCCGGGAGCUGGCUGGCGGUGAGGCCUCGAGGCUGCGGUCGUGUCCCUGAUCACUCAGGAGUGGACGAGUGGAAAGUGGAAUCUGUCGCUUUGAGCUUGACAGGCAAACAUCCGACCAGCCCUUCCUCCGCCCGGCUGCUCCAGAACCACCUGCGGCGAGCAGGGCUUUGAGAACAUCGGGCCGUGGUUUCCGCACGUCAGGCCGCCUGUGGCCUCCGCCAAGCGUCUGAGAGUGAAGCAUUGCUGACGCACUCCACGAGGUCCUGGCCAGACCCCACUCAGGACAUCCCGCUGCACAGGCCCCUGGUUGCUGGGUCAGCGCUGCCACCAGGCUCAGACUCACCCCAGGGCCCUCCUUGGGCCACCUUUCUCUGCCUCCUUGGUCAAGGCCCAGACCCAGGCCCCACCAGGCCCUGCCUCCUCACACUCGCGGCGGCCGCUGGGUCUUCUACCGCAUGGUGCCAGCUCCCUCUCCUCCGCUGCGGUGUCCUAGCCCAGCUCUCUCCCUGCCAGGCCCUCUGAAGUUCCACCCCCUGGCACUCAGCUCAUGGUGGGAACAGGACCAGGCUCUCCUGUUGCCAAGGGCAGUGAGAUGUUCGUAGCUUUAUUUCCCAGUACAUUGAUUUUACUGAUUUUAGUUUAUCUUCAGUUGAAUAAUUGUGUGUAUUGAUGGGGUUUAUGUUUUAUGGGGUUUGGCGUGAUGUUCUGAUGUAAGUAUUUGUUGCAGAAAGAUUCAAUUAAGCUAAUCAACAUAUCCA